CCCAUGCCCAAAGGUUGGGCGUCCCACCUUUCUACACGCCAAGAGUUGGGGAGUUGUUCAUCUACAGUGAAAAAAGAAGAGAAAAGACUGUAGAUCAAAGAGUUAAUUUUGCAGUCUAGUUCAAAGGAUUGAUCAAGAUUUUGAAGGGUUGAGAUCCUACUUAGAGAAGAAGGAUCUACUAUGAGAAGAUCGAUUCGAGAUUGAUCUCGAUGGAUAUCCGCAG
rnacentral:lncRNA from 1 species